AUGACGAUGGCCAGUUGGUUGAGCGUCCCCAAGGCGCCCCGCAAGUGAGUGGGGGCGAUCUCCCCCACGUACAUGGGCACCAGCCCCGACGUGAGCCCUGGGCAGAGGGAAGAAGACAGGGCUGAGGGCAGCUGGCCACUGCCCCCUGCAGGUUCAGUGAUGGUGAACGGACAAGAUAGCAGGGCACGGGGCAGGGCCGUGGCGCCCGUCGGUACCUGAGUAGGCGCCAAUGAGGAACCGUCCGAGAAUGAGCAUCUCGUAGGACGCAGCGGCAUUGGCCAGGCCCAUGAGGGUGCCCCCCAGCACCGCCAGGAUGUUGUUGACCAGCAUGGCCCUCUUCCUGACGGGCAAAGAGUGGGGCUGGAAGUUAGGGUGCCAUGCUGUGACCCCUGGUCCUGUCCCUCACCCCUGCCCUCCAGGCCCAUACCUUCCCAGCCACUGAGAGACGACACCAAUGAGGAAAGAGGAGAUCAUGCCGCCCACAGAAAAGAUGGCCACGGACAGAGCCCAGAGGGUGGUGAGGGUGCCUGGCGGGAUGGAGCUGGGUCCCUCCGGCCCCUGCCUCCCCAGCCACGUCUCAUUGUAGCUCUGUUCAAUCACCUGGGGGGACAGCGUAAGAGUGACUGCCUGCAGAGGCGUCUCCCUCUGCUGUCCCUUGCUGUCCCCUGCCCUCCUUGUUUAGACAGUCCACACCCUGCCAGCCACAGACCCCUCACCUUCUGCGGGGCAUUGAUGACCCCAAUGUUAUAGCCAAACUGGAGGGAGCCAAGCACAGCAGAGAACACGGCGAGGACCAGGGUCCCAGUUACUCGCUGCCGUGGGGGCUCCCCGUCCUGGGUAGGCAGAAGAAGAGACGAGGCAUGUCACACAGAAUCAUGCUUCCUUUCUUUCCUCCAGGGGCCCGGGCCCAGCCGGAGCUUUAAGAUGCUGGGUUCUAUCCAACAUGUUGGGUGAGGGAAACUGGGCCAUAUUAGGAAUAGAGCAAAGAUCUCAGUGUAAACAGUAGUAGGAAGAACCCAACAGUGAUCAGCCAUGAAAAAGAAAAAAAAACAAAACAAAACAAAAAACCAAAACUGGGUCUUUGGGUCCAGCAAGCUGAGAAAUGUUUGAGGACCUCGGGCCUCACCAUUCCUCUGUGACCUUGGGACAGGCUUGGCCUUAAGACUUGAG
rnacentral:lncRNA from 1 species